rnacentral:rRNA from 1 species
UACGGGGGGGGCAAGCGUUGUUCGGAAUUACUGGGCGUAAAGGGCUCGUAGGUGGCCAACUAAGUCAGACGUGAAAUCCCUCGGCUUAACCGGGGAACUGCGUCUGAUACUGGAUGGCUUGAGAUUGGGAGAGGGAUGCGGAACUCCAGGUGUAGCGGUGAAAUGCGUAGAUAUCUGGAGGAACACCGGUGGCGAAGGCGGCAUCCUGGACCAACACUGACACUGAGGAGCGAAAGCCAGGGGAGCAAACGGG